UCCGUAGGUGAACCUGCGGAGGGAUCAUUACUGAGUUACCGCUCUAUAACCCUUUGUGAACAUACCUAACCGUUGCUUCGGCGGGCAGGGGAAGCCUCUCGCGGGCCUCCCCUCCCGGCGCCGGCCCCACCACGGGGACGGGGCGCCCGCCGGAGGAAACCAAACUCUAUUUACACGACGUCUCUUCUGAGUGGCACAAGCAAAUAAUUAAAACUUUUAACAACGGAUCUCUUGGUUCUGGCAUCGAUGAAGAACGCAGCGAAAUGCGAUAAGUAAUGUGAAUUGCAGAAUUCAGUGAAUCAUCGAAUCUUUGAACGCACAUUGCGCUCGCCAGCAUUCUGGCGAGCAUGCCUGUUCGAGCGUCAUUUCAACCCUCAAGCACCGCUUGGUUUUGGGGCCCCACGGCACACGUGGGCCCUUAAAGGUAGUGGCGGACCCUCCCGGAGCCUCCUUUGCGUAGUAACUAACGUCUCGCACUGGGAUCCGGAGGGACUCUUGCCGUAAAACCCCCAAACUUUUUACAGGUUGACCUCGGAUCAGGUAGGAAUACCCGCUGAACUUAAGCAUAUCAAUAAGCGGAGGAA
rnacentral:rRNA from 1 species